GUGGGGAAUCUUGCGCAAUGGGCGAAAGCCUGACGCAGCCAUGCCGCGUGAAUGAUGAAGGUCUUAGGAUUGUAAAAUUCUUUCACCGGGGACGAUAAUGACGGUACCCGGAGAAGAAGCCCCGGCUAACUUCGUGCCAGCAGCCGCGGUAAUACGAAGGGGGCUAGCGUUGCUCGGAAUUACUGGGCGUAAAGGGCGCGUAGGCGGACAGUUUAGUCAGAGGUGAAAGCCCAGGGCUCAACCUUGGAAUUGCCUUUGAUACUGGCUGUCUUGAGUACGGGAGAGGUGAGUGGAACUCCGAGUGUAGAGGUGAAAGUCGUAGAUAUUCGGAAGAACACCAGUGGCGAAGGCGACUCACUGGCCCGUUACUGACGCUGAGGCGCGAAACCGUGGGGAGCAAACAGGAUUAGAAACCCGAGUAGUCC
rnacentral:rRNA from 1 species